GAUGAACGCUGGCGGCGUGCCUAAUACAUGCAAGUCGAGCGAACGGACGAGAAGCUUGCUUCUCUGAUGUUAGCGGCGGACGGGUGAGUAACACGUGGAUAACCUACCUAUAAGACUGGGAUAACUUCGGGAAACCGGAGCUAAUACCGGAUAAUAUUUUGAACCGCAUGGUUCAAAAGUGAAAGACGGUCUUGCUGUCACUUAUAGAUGGAUCCGCGCUGCAUUAGCUAGUUGGUAAGGUAACGGCUUACCAAGGCAACGAUGCAUAGCCGACCUGAGAGGGUGAUCGGCCACACUGGAACUGAGACACGGUCCAGACUCCUACGGGAGGCAGCAGUAGGGAAUCUUCCGCAAUGGGCGAAAGCCUGACGGAGCAACGCCGCGUGAGUGAUGAAGGUCUUCGGAUCGUAAAACUCUGUUAUUAGGGAAGAACAUAUGUGUAAGUAACUGUGCACAUCUUGACGGUACCUAAUCAGAAAGCCACGGCUAACUACGUGCCAGCAGCCGCGGUAAUACGUAGGUGGCAAGCGUUAUCCGGAAUUAUUGGGCGUAAAGCGCGCGUAGGCGGUUUUUUAAGUCUGAUGUGAAAGCCCACGGCUCAACCGUGGAGGGUCAUUGGAAACUGGAAAACUUGAGUGCAGAAGAGGAAAGUGGAAUUCCAUGUGUAGCGGUGAAAUGCGCAGAGAUAUGGAGGAACACCAGUGGCGAAGGCGACUUUCUGGUCAGUAACUGACGCUGAUGUGCGAAAGCGUGGGGAUCAAACAGGAUUAGAUACCCUGGUAGUCCACGCCGUAAACGAUGAGUGCUAAGUGUUAGGGGGUUUCCGCCCCUUAGUGCUGCAGCUAACGCAUUAAGCACUCCGCCUGGGGAGUACGACCGCAAGGUUGAAACUCAAAGGAAUUGACGGGGACCCGCACAAGCGGUGGAGCAUGUGGUUUAAUUCGAAGCAACGCGAAGAACCUUACCAAAUCUUGACAUCCUUUGACAACUCUAGAGAUAGAGCUUUCCCCUUCGGGGGACAAAGUGACAGGUGGUGCAUGGUUGUCGUCAGCUCGUGUCGUGAGAUGUUGGGUUAAGUCCCGCAACGAGCGCAACCCUUAAGCUUAGUUGCCAUCAUUAAGUUGGGCACUCUAAGUUGACUGCCGGUGACAAACCGGAGGAAGGUGGGGAUGACGUCAAAUCAUCAUGCCCCUUAUGAUUUGGGCUACACACGUGCUGCAAUGGACAAUACAAAGGGCAGCGAAACCGCGAGGUCAAGCAAAUCCCAUAAAGUUGUUCUCAGUUCGGAUUGUAGUCUGCAACUCGACUACAUGAAGCUGGAAUCGCUAGUAAUCGUAGAUCAGCAUGCUACGGUGAAUACGUUCCCGGGUCU
rnacentral:rRNA from 1 species